UACGAAGGGGGCUAGCGUUGCUCGGAAUGACUGGGCGUAAAGGGCGCGUAGGCGGAUGGCACAGUCAGAUGUGAAAUUCCCGGGCUUAACCUGGGGGCUGCAUUUGAUACGUGUUGUCUUGAGUUCGGAAGAGGGUCGUGGAAUUCCCAGUGUAGAGGUGAAAUUCGUAGAUAUUGGGAAGAACACCGGUGGCGAAGGCGGCUCACUGGCUCGUAACUGACGCUCAUGCACGACAGCGUGGGGAGCAAACAGG
rnacentral:rRNA from 1 species